rnacentral:rRNA from 1 species
UAAGCACACAGCUCAGUAACACGUGGCUAACCUGCCCUUGGGACCAGAACCCCGGGAAACUGGGGCUAAUUUUCGAUAGGUGAAGAACUCUGGAAUGAGUCUUUGCUUAAAAGACGCUAAAGUUAUGCUCUUUGGCACCGCCCAAGGAUGGGGCCGCGACCGAUCAGGUUGAAGGUGAGGUAAUGGCUCACCAAGCCUUUUACCGGUGCGGGCCGUGGGAGCGGGAGCCCGGAGAUGGGCACUGAGACAAGGGCCCAGGCCCUACGGGGCGCAGCAGUCGCGAAAACUUUGCAAUAAGCGAAAGCUUGACAGGGCUAUCCCGAGUGCCAUCCGCUGAGGAAGGCUUUUACCCAGUCUAGAACGCUGGGGGAAUAAGGAGAGGGCAAGUCUGGUGUCAGCCGCCGCGGUAAUACCAGCUCUCCGAGUGGUGUGGAUGUUUAUUGGGCCUAAAGCAUCCGUAGCUGGCUAAGUUAGUCCCCUGUUAAAUCCACCGAAUUAAUCGUUGGAUUGCGGGGGAUACUGCUUGGCUAGGGGACGAGAGAGGCAGACGGUAUUUCCGGGUUAGGGGUGAAAUCCUAUAAUCCCGGGAAGACCACCAGUGGCGAAGGCUGUCUGCUAGAACGCGCCCGACGGUGAGGGAUGAAAGCUGGGGGAGCGAACCGGAUUAGAUACCCGGGUAGUCCCAGCUGUAAACGAUGCAGACUAGGUGUUUGGACGGCCACGUGCCGUUCUAGUGCCGCAGGGAAGCUGUUAAGUCUGCCGCCUGGGAGUACGAUCGCGAGAUUGAAUUAAAGGCCA